AGAGUUUGAUCAUGGCUCAGAUUGAACGCUGGCGGCAGGCUUAACACAUGCAAGUCGAGCGGGGGAAGGUAGCUUGCUACUGGACCUAGCGGCGGACGGGUGAGUAAUGCUUAGGAAUCUGCCUAUUAGUGGGGGACAACAUCUCGAAAGGGAUGCUAAUACCGCAUACGUCCUACGGGAGAAAGCAGGGGAUCUUCGGACCUUGCGCUAAUAGAUGAGCCUAAGUCGGAUUAGCUAGUUGGUGGGGUAAAGGCCUACCAAGGCGACGAUCUGUAGCGGGUCUGAGAGGAUGAUCCGCCACACUGGGACUGAGACACGGCCCAGACUCCUACGGGAGGCAGCAGUGGGGAAUAUUGGACAAUGGGGGGAACCCUGAUCCAGCCAUGCCGCGUGUGUGAAGAAGGCCUUAUGGUUGUAAAGCACUUUAAGCGAGGAGGAGGCUACUUUAGUUAAUACCUAGAGAUAGUGGACGUUACUCGCAGAAUAAGCACCGGCUAACUCUGUGCCAGCAGCCGCGGUAAUACAGAGGGUGCGAGCGUUAAUCGGAUUUACUGGGCGUAAAGCGUGCGUAGGCGGCUUAUUAAGUCGGAUGUGAAAUCCCCGAGCUUAACUUGGGAAUUGCAUUCGAUACUGGUGAGCUAGAGUAUGGGAGAGGAUGGUAGAAUUCCAGGUGUAGCGGUGAAAUGCGUAGAGAUCUGGAGGAAUACCGAUGGCGAAGGCAGCCAUCUGGCCUAAUACUGACGCUGAGGUACGAAAGCAUGGGGAGCAAACAGGAUUAGAUACCCUGGUAGUCCAUGCCGUAAACGAUGUCUACUAGCCGUUGGGGCCUUUGAGGCUUUAGUGGCGCAGCUAACGCGAUAAGUAGACCGCCUGGGGAGUACGGUCGCAAGACUAAAACUCAAAUGAAUUGACGGGGGCCCGCACAAGCG
rnacentral:rRNA from 1 species